rfam:Pseudomonas sp. M47T1 contig03, whole genome shotgun sequence.
GGCGCGCUCUUUGCGCUCACUCAAACAUCCGCAAUCAACGUCGAUUGCCCCAUCACGACAAAGGCGCCGU